rnacentral:rRNA from 1 species
AGUGAACGCUGGCGGUAGGCCUAACACAUGCAAGUCGAACGGCAGCACAGUAAGAGCUUGCUCUUACGGGUGGCGAGUGGCGGACGGGUGAGGAAUACAUCGGAAUCUACUUUUUCGUGGGGGAUAACGUAGGGAAACUUACGCUAAUACCGCAUACGACCUACGGGUGAAAGCAGGGGAUCUUCGGACCUUGCGCGAUUGAAUGAGCCGAUGUCGGAUUAGCUAGUUGGCGGGGUAAAGGCCCACCAAGGCGACGAUCCGUAGCUGGUCUGAGAGGAUGAUCAGCCACACUGGAACUGAGACACGGACCAGACUCCUACGGGAGGCAGCAGUGGGGAAUAUUGGACAAUGGGCGCAAGCCUGGUCCAGCCAUACCGCGUGGGUGAAGAAGGCCUUCGGGUUGUAAAGCCCUUUUGUUGGGAAAGAAAAGCAGCAGGUUAAUACCCCGCUGUUCUGACGGUACCCAAAGAAUAAGCACCGGCUAACUUCGUG